rnacentral:rRNA from 1 species
UACGGAGGGUGCAAACGUUGCUCGGAAUCAUUGGGCGUAAAGCGCACGUAGGCGGACUGUUAAGUCGGAUGUGAAAGCCCUCGGCUUAACCGAGGAAGUGCAUUCGAAACUGGCAGUCUUGAGUACAGAAGAGGGUCGCGGGAAUUCCCGGUGUAGAGGUGAAAUUCGUAGAUAUCGGGAGGAACACCAGUGGCGAAGGCGGCGACCUGGGCUGAUACUGACGCUCAGGCACGAAAGCGUGGG